AACGCGAAGAACCUUACCAAGACUUGACAUCGUAUGACCGCCAUAGAAAUAUGGAAUCCCCUUCGGGGGCAUAUAGACAGGUGGUGCAUGGUUGUCGUCAGCUCGUGUCGUGAGAUGUUCGGUUAAGUCCGGCAACGAGCGCAACCCUUAUUACCAGUUGCCAAUAUUAAGUUAGGAACUCUGGUGAGACUGCCGUGGUCAACACGGAGGAAGGUGGGGAUGACGUCAAAUCAUCAUGCCCCUUACGUCUUGGGCUACACACGUGCUACAAUGGCUGCAACAAAGGGCAGCGAAACCGUAAGGUGGAGCGAAUCCCAAAAAAGCAGUCUUAGUUCGGAUUGUGGGCUGCAACCCGCCCACAUGAAGCAGGAGUUGCUAGUAAUCGCGAAUCAGAACGUCGCGGUGAAUGCGUUCCCGGGUCUUGUACACACCG
rnacentral:rRNA from 1 species